rnacentral:rRNA from 1 species
GGNGGGGGAUAACUCCGGGAAACUGGAGCUAAUACCGCAUGAUAACUGAGGUUCAAAGGUCGCAAGACCGCCUUGAGAGGGGCCUGCGUUCGAUUAGUUAGUUGGUGGGGUAAUGGCCUACCAAGACGAUGAUCGAUAGCUGGUUUGAGAGGAUGAUCAGCCACACUAGGACUGAGACACGGCCCAGACUCCUACGGGAGGCAGCAGUGGGGAAUAUUGGACAAUGGGGGCAACCCUGAUCCAGCAAUGCCGCGUGUGUGAAGAAGGUCUUCGGAUUGUAAAACACUUUCGUUGGGGACGAUGAUGACGGUACCCAAAGAAGAAGCCCCGGCUAACUUCGUGCCAGCAGCCGCGGUAAUACGAAGGGGGCGAGCGUUGCUCGGAAUAACUGGGCGUAAAGGGCGCGUAGGCGGCCGAUAGCUGUCANAUGUGAAAUUUUUGGGCUCAACCCGAAAACUGCAUUUGAUAC